UUUUAAUUUUACUUAAAUUUGUUAAGUCAAUUUGUAUACCACUAUUAAAUUAAUUAUUAAUUUUAAUUUAUAAAAUUUAUGCAAAUUUAAAAAAAAUUAAGUCAAGGUGCAGUAAAAAUUAAGAAUGAAGUGAAUUACAUUUCUUUUAAGAGAUUAUUAAAAUUAAAAUUUUAAUUUAGGAUUU
rnacentral:rRNA from 1 species